rnacentral:rRNA from 1 species
ACACUAUCAUUAACUGAAUCCAUAGGUUAAUGAGGCGAACCGGGGGAACUGAAACAUCUAAGUACCCCGAGGAAAAGAAAUCAACCGAGAUUCCCCCAGUAGCGGCGAGCGAACGGGGAGGAGCCCAGAGCCUGAAUCAGCAUGUGUGUUAGUGGAAGCGUCUGGAAAGGCGCGCGAUACAGGGUGACAGCCCCGUACACAAAAGCGCAUGUGCUGUGAGCUCGAUGAGUAGGGCGGGACACGUGGUAUCCUGUCUGAAUAUGGGGGGACCAUCCUCCAAGGCUAAAUACUCCUGACUGACCGAUAGUGAACCAGUACCGUGAGGGAAAGGCGAAAAGAACCCCGGCGAGGGGAGUGAAAAAGAACCUGAAACCGUGUACGUACAAGCAGUGGGAGCACCCUUCGGGGUGUGACUGCGUACCUUUUGUAUAAUGGGUCAGCGACUUAUAUUCUGUAGCAAGGUUAACCGAAUAGGGGAGCCGGAGGGAAACCGAGUCUUAACCGGGCGUUAAGUUGCAGGGUAUAGACCCGAAACCCGGUGAUCUAGCCAUGGGCAGGUUGAAGGUUGGGUAACACUAACUGGAGGACCGAACCGACUAAUGUUGAAAAAUUAGCGGAUGACCUGUGGCUGGGGGUGAAAGGCCAAUCAAACCGGGAGAUAGCUGGUUCUCCCCGAAAGCUAUUUAGGUAGCGCCUCGUGAAUUCAUCUCCGGGGGUAGAGCACUGUUUCGGCUAGGGGGCCAUCCCGGCUUACCAACCCGAUGCAAACUGCGAAUACCGGAGAAUGUUAUCACGGGAGACACACGGCGGGUGCUAACGUCCGUCGUGAAGAGGGAAACAACCCAGACCGCCAGCUAAGGUCCCAAAGUCAUGGUUAAGUGGGAAACGAUGUGGGAAGGCCCAGACAGCCAGGAUGUUGGCUUAGAAGCAGCCAUCAUUUAAAGAAAGCGUAAUAGCUCACUGGUCGAGUCGGCCUGCGCGGAAGAUGUAACGGGGCUAAACCAUGCACCGAAGCUGCGGCAGCGAACGUAUCACCCAAGACAACUUUACGGAGUUGACGAUUGACGGAGCGAAGCGACGUCAAAGCGUUCAUUAAAGUCGAGUUGGCUUAGGGAUACGUUCGUUGGGUAGGGGAGCGUUCUGUAAGCCUGUGAAGGUGUGUCGUGAGGCAUGCUGGAGGUAUCAGAAGUGCGAAUGCUGACAUAAGUAACGAUAAAGCGGGUGAAAAGCCCGCUCGCCGGAAGACCAAGGGUUCCUGUCCAACGUUAAUCGGGGCAGGGUGAGUCGACCCCUAAGGCGAGGCCGAAAGGCGUAGUCGAUGGGAAACGGGUUAAUAUUCCCGUACUUGGUGUUACUGCGAAGGGGGGACGGAGAAGGCUAUGUUGGCCGGGCGACGGUUGUCCCGGUUUAAGCGUGUAGGUGUGUGUUCCAGGUAAAUCCGGUUCACUUUAACACUGAGGCGUGACGACGA